rnacentral:lncRNA from 1 species
UUUUUCAUUUAACAUUAUUUGAUAGAAAUCAUCCUACAUAAUGAUACAAUUCAUAUUAUUUAAAUAACUACAUAUUAUUUUUGUACCUUUCACCUAUGAUUCAUUUGUUAUUUUCUAAUUUUUCACUAUGAAUACUUUUGUAUAAGCCACUUUUUUUUUUCUACUUCUUUUGAACUAUUUCCUUGAGGUAUACAUGCUCAGUAGAGAAAGUCCUGGAUUUCAGUUUCCUAGUUCCUGUUACAUUUUUCCCCUCAUAUUCUCUAGACAGAUUGAGCCCAUCUGUGAUUCUACCAGAAAUAAAAAUUAAGUGCAGAUUUCUUCAUAAUCUUGACGUCAUUCAGUCUUACAAUUAAAAAAGUAUUUUCCCUAGUUUAAAAAAGCUUUCCUUAGUCUCCCAAGUUCCUUUAGUUUGCAGUUAGGUCACUGCUAAGGGAAGGGGGCUUCGGGGACUUUUGAAGCAUCUGGUUAAAUUGUGAUGUUUCACGGAGGUAAGGGAGACCUGCAGCGGACCCGGCUCGCGGGGGCGGCGCUGGGUGCAGGGCCUUCCUGUGGGCUGCAGCCGCCGCCGGCCCCGGGGCUCCCUCUGGAACUGCGCCCACCAGGGGUCAGUGUCCGCUCGGCUUCGGGCUCUGGCUUCCCACAAUGCACCGGGCUCCCUAGUCCCCGCGCUGGGAGGUGACCGAGCUGCGGCCGCGGCGGCUGGAGCCCAGAGGAUCUGCGGGGCGCGGGGCCGCCGGCCGGGGGCGGGGCCUCAGCCGGGGGCGGGGCCUCAGCCGGGGGCGGGGCCUCAGCCGGGGGCGGGGCCAGAAGCCCGGAGCGCAGCUGUCGCGGGCCGCUGUGCCCCUCCCGCGGGCGCCGCCGGGGCUCGGCUCGCACCCUUCCCCACCUCGGAGACCUGUGCACCUGGCGCUGUAGCAAGACUGUCAGUCAGAAGCUACUGA